rnacentral:lncRNA from 1 species
UAUUAAAUAAUUUAUUUUUACAAAAAGAUAUAAAAUUUAAUUAUGAUAUGAGAGAUACAAUAUAAACGUUACUCUAAAAAGUCUCAAUAUUAAUCAAAUAAACAUGAGAUAUCUUUAGCUUAUUAUACACUAGUAGUAAUAGUUCAAACGAUGUAUCAAUUCUUUUAGUGGAUAAUAUAUAUCAAAGUUUGUAAAAAAUAUUAACUUAUAGAUCUUAUACUUUAUUAAGUUAAGAAAAUAAACCAAAAAUAAUCUUAUUCCUCUUUGUAAAUUCAUUCCUAAAGAGAAAUAGUAGGAAAAAAAUAGCAAUAAAAAUACCUAUAAUACUUAAGUAAAUUUAAGUACAUAAAAACAAGGGAGUUGUUAAAGCAACACCCACAUUGCCAUCUCAUAAUAGAUUUUUUCCAUCCCCAUCUCCGUCCCUUGUUUCAUGUCUCCCAUCCC